rnacentral:tRNA from 1 species
GCUGAAGUGGCAGAAAGAUGUUUUAAUGCGUUGGAUUUAAGCUCCGAAGAUGAUAAGUUCCUUUGGUU